AGAAGACCACAGGGAUUACCUCAGUAACGGCGAGUGAAGCGGUAACAGCUCAAAUUUGAAAUCUGGCCUCACGGUCCGAGUUGUAAUUUGUAGAGGAUGCUUCGAGCAUGGUCUGGCCUAAGUUCCUUGGAACAGGACGUCAUAGAGGGUGAGAAUCCCGUAUGCGGCCAGGUGCCUACGCUCAUGUGAAGCUCCUUCGACGAGUCGAGUUGUUUGGGAAUGCAGCUCAAAAUGGGUGGUAAAUUUCAUCUAAAGCUAAAUAUUGGCCAGAGACCGAUAGCGCACAAGUAGAGUGAUCGAAAGAUGAAAAGCACUUUGGAAAGAGAGUUAAACAGUACGUGAAAUUGUUGAAAGGGAAGCGCUUGCAACCAGACUUGCGCGCGGCCGAUCAUCCGGUGUUCUCACCGGUGCACUCGGCCGUGCUCAGGCCAGCAUCGGUUUUGGCGGCUGGAUAAAGGCCCUAGGAAUGUAGCUCCUCUCGGGGAGUGUUAUAGCCUAGGGUGCAAUGCAGCCUGCUGGGGCCGAGGACCGCGCUUCGGCUAGGAUGCUGGCGUAAUGGUUGUAAGCGGCCCGUCUUGAAACACGGACCAAGGAGUCUAACAUCUAUGCGAGUGUUUGGGUGUCAAACCCAUACGCGUAAUUAACGUGAACGGAGGUAGGAACCCUUAAGGGUGCACUAUCGACCGAUCCUGAUGUCUUCGGAUGGAUUUGAGUAAGAGCAUAGCUGUUGGGACCCGAAAGAUGGUGAACUAUGCCUGAAUAGGGUGAAGCCAGAGGAAACUCUGGUGGAGGCUCGCAGCGGUUCUGACGUGCAAAUCGAUCGUCAAAUUUGGGUAUAGGGGCGAAAGACUAAUCGAACCAUCUAGUAGCUGGUUCCUGCCGAAGUUUCCCUCAGGAUAGCAGUGUUGAAUUCAGUUUUAUGA
rnacentral:rRNA from 1 species